CUCUGGCAAUGCAAGUAAAGCCCCAAAAAAAGGAGCUCUCAUUCUGAUGGAGGAGACAGCAUUCAAACUAAUGCUCACGUACAAGAUUUCUACAAGCUAAUUCUGAGAUACUCUUUGAGGGAAGACACUAGCAGCAGAGACAUGGAAAGGCCUCUGAGCUAAGUCCAGAAGGAAGCCUGCAGAGCCUGAGACUAAGAAGAAGGAAAUACCAGGCACAGGAGGCAGCCAGUGCAGAGGCAUGGAGUCCAGAGAUAAAUGUCCUGUACAAGGCUAGUGUUGCUAUAUCACUGAGUAAGAAGAGGAGACUAAGUUUCAGAAGACUAGAAAGAAUUCCUAUAUGCCAUAGGCGUCGGACACAGUCCUGGUGCCUGAAGACAGGGGGAGGAAUGUCUGUAUUCUGCUUAUUGGAAUCUCCAAAGCUUUGCACCUUGUGAUGAAGCCCAUGUUUAUGGAUGACAGAAUCCAAAAUCAACAAGGUUUUAUGGCAUGCCUUCCAAGUUAAACUUAAUACUGAUUAUAUAUGUACCUAGGUAUAGCUGUUUUUUUUUUCCCAAUGUUUGUCCUGUAAUUUCCUUGCCAGCAUUAUAUCAGAUAUGUAUCUGGGUGUAUAUGUAUGCAUGUGAGAGGCAAUGUACCUCAAUGUGAUCAACUUUCAAGUCCCUCCUCUGAUAAAUAUUAGUUGUAUUUGUCUGACUAAAUCAUUUAGUCUCUAA